UACGUAGGGACCAAGCGUUGUUCGGAUUUACUGGGCGUAAAGGGCGCGUAGGCGGCAAUUCAAGUCAUCUGUGAAAUCUCCGGGCUUAACCCGGAACGGUCAGGUGAUACUGUUUUGCUAGAGUCCGGAAGAGGCGAGUGGAAUUCCUGGUGUAGCGGUGAAAUGCGCAGAUAUCAGGAGGAACACCAAUGGCGAAGGCAGCUCGCUGGGACGGUACUGACACUGAGACGCGAAAGCGUGGGGAGCAAACAGG
rnacentral:rRNA from 1 species